CCUACGGGAGGCUGCAGUGGGGAAUAUUGCACAAUGGGCGCAAGCCCGAUGCAGCCAUGCCGCGUGUGUGAAGAAGGCCUUCGGGUUGUAAAGCACUUUCAGCGGGGAGGAAGGCGGUGAGGUUAAUAACCUCAUCGAUUGACGUUACCCGCAGAAGAAGCACCGGCUAACUCCGUGCCAGCAGCCGCGGUAAUACGGAGGGUGCAAGCGUUAAUCGGAAUUACUGGGCGUAAAGCGCACGCAGGCGGUCUGUCAAGUCGGAUGUGAAAUCCCCGGGCUCAACCUGGGAACUGCAUUCGAAACUGGCAGGCUAGAGUCUUGUAGAGGGGGGUAGAAUUCCAGGUGUAGCGGUGAAAUGCGUAGAGAUCUGGAGGAAUACCGGUGGCGAAGGCGGCCCCCUGGACAAAGACUGACGCUCAGGUGCGAAAGCGUGGGGAGCAAACAGGAUUAGAUACCCCUGUAGUC
rnacentral:rRNA from 1 species